ACGGCAAAAUUGCUCACCUCUAGAGGGCCCAGAGGUGAAAACCUUGUGUUGAGAAAUAACCUGCAUGGACCCCACGCAGAUGCUCACUCGGACACCUCAUGCUUAGCCAACAAAGCCUGCACUGCUGCAGCUCAGCUCCAGAGGACCCGAAAGCAAGGAACAUGGAGUUGCAUUUACCUGAGUGCUUCCGGGACUUAGGCUGCGCCUGCCAGGCCAGAAAGGUUAGUGAGGAGAGUGUGUGUGAAUGAACGAGUGCAGGUCCAUUCUACCAUUUAUUUGCUUUUUGCUGUUUGUAAAUAAAUAAAAGUACUAGAACCUUU
rnacentral:lncRNA from 1 species